ensembl:Y_RNA Y_RNA Y RNA
GGCUGGUCCAAAGGCAGUUAUCUCAAUUGAUUGUUCACAGUCAGUUACAGAUCAAACUCCUUGUUCUACUCUUUCCCCUCUUCUCACUACUGCACUUGACUAGUCUUUA